GAUGAACGCUGGCGGCGUGCCUAAUACAUGCAAGUCGAGCGAACAGGCGAGGAGCUUGCGGCGUGCUCGAGAGCGGAAGAGGGGUGAGUAACACGUGUGACACCCACCUAUCAUACUGGUAAAAUCUCGGGAAUCGGGAGAAAACCCGGGAGAAGAUUCUGAACCGCAGUGUUCGAUGGUGAAAGACGGCGUUGCUAUCUGUUAUAGAUGCAUCUGCGCCGUAUGAGCUAGUUGGUCAGGUAAAGGGUUACCAAGGGAACGAUGCGUGACCGACUUGCGAGGGUGAUCGGCCGCACUGGAACUGAGACACGGUCCAUGCGCCUACGGGAGGCAGCAGUAGGGUAUCGGCCGCAAUAGGCGAAAGCCUGACGGAGCGACGCCGCGUGUGUGAUGAAGGUCUUCGGAGCGUAAAACUCUGUUAUUAGGUGAGAACAGACGUGUAAGUAACUGUGCACGUCUUGACGGUAACUAAUCAGAAAGCCACGGCUAACUACGUG
rnacentral:rRNA from 1 species